rnacentral:rRNA from 1 species
GACGUAGGGCGCGAGCGUUGUCCGGAUUUAUUGGGCGUAAAGAGCUCGUAGGCGGCUUGUUGCGUCGGCUGUGAAAACCCGCAGCUCAACUGUGGGCUUGCAGCCGAUACGGGCAGGCUAGAAUUCGGUAGGGGAGACUGGAAUUCCUGGUGUAGCGGUGAAAUGCGCAGAUAUCAGGAGGAACACCGGUGGCGAAGGCGGCAUCCUGGACCGACACUGACACUGAGGAGCGAAAGCCAGGGGAGCAAACGGG